UACGGAAUGGAUAAGCGCUGAAAGCAUCUAAGCGCGAAGCCAACUUCAAGAUAAGAUUUCCCACCGUAAGGGUAAGACCCCAGGAAGACUACCUGGUUGAUAGGUCGAAGGUGUAAGUGCAGUAAUGUAUUUAGCUUAUCGAUACUAAUAGGUCGAGGACUUGACCA
rnacentral:rRNA from 1 species